AUGUUUAUUCAUUUUGAGAGACUGAGCGUGACCUGGGGGGGGGGGGCGCGGAGGGAGGGAGGGAGGGAGAGAGGGGAGAGAGAGAGGGAGAGGGGGAGAGAGGGGGAGAGAGGGGGCGAGAGGGGGAGAGGGGGAGAGAGGGGGAAGAGAGGGGGAGGAGAGAGAGGGGGAGAGAGGGGGAGAGGGGGAGAGAGGGGGCGAGAGGGGGAGAGGAGGGGGGAGAGAGGGGGAGAGGGGGAGAGGGGGAGAGAGGGGGAGAGAGGGGGAGAGGGGGAGAGAGGGGGAGAGAGAGGGGGAGAGAGGGGGAGAGAGGGGGAGAGGGGGAGAGAGAGGGAGAGGGGGAGAGAGGGAGAGGGGGAGAGAGAGAGGGGGGAGAGGGGGAGAGAGAGCGGGGGAGAGAGAGGGGGAGGGACGAGGGGGGAGAGAGAGCGGGGAGGGGAGAGAGAGGAGGGAGAGAGAGGGGGGAGGGAGAGGGAGGGAGAGGGGGGAGGGGAGGGAGAGAGGGAGAGGGAGAGGGGGAGGAGAGGGAGGGAGCGAGAGGGGGGAGGGAGAGGGAGGGGAGGGAGGGGGAGAGAGGAGGGAGGGAGAGAGGGGGAGAGCGGGGGAGAGAGGGGAGGGAGAGGGGGGAGAGAGGGGAGGAGAGGGGGCGAGAGGGGAGGAGAGGGGGAGCGGAGAGGGGGAGAGAGGGGGAGAGAGGGCGAGGGAGGGAGAGAGGGGGCGAGAGGGGGAGAGAGGGGGGAGACAGGGGGAGAGAAGGGGAGAGAGAGAGGGGGAGAGGGAGGGAGAGGAGAGAGGGAGGGGGAGAGGGAGAGGGGGAGAGAGGGGGAGGGAGAGGGAGAGGGAGGGGAGGGGAGGGAGGGAGGGGAGGGAGGGGGAGGGAGAGGGGAUGAGAGGGGAGGGAGGAGAGGGAGGGGAGGGGAGGGAGGGGAGGGAGAGGGAGGGAGAGGGGAGGGAGCGGGAGGGGAGAGGGAGGGAGAAGAGGGGAGGGAGAGGGAGGGAGAGAGGGGAGGGAGAGGGAGAGGGAGAGGGGGAGAAGAGGGAGACACAGAAUCCAAAGCAGGCUUCAAGCUCUGA
rnacentral:lncRNA from 1 species